rnacentral:tRNA from 1 species
GUGGGUGUAGCUCAAGGGUAGAGCAGCCGGCUUUUAACCGGCAGGUCUGGGUUCGAUCCCCAGCGCCCGCACCA